GAAUGUGGGCUAUGGAUGAUGGAAGUGAAGUGGGCUAAAACAAAAUGAAGCCACAUGUUGUGUGACAGAAGGAGAAGGCAGUUUUCUUUUUCUAUUAUGUUAAAAUGCUGAGGUUCACACAGACUGUGUUUGAGUCACCAGACAUUUGGUUGCAUUUUAAAUUGGUAGCUAUGAUGUUACUUGAUGAUGUGACACCUCAUCAUCGCGUCAUGGCGCUUUCAAAUCAAUGGUAAGAUCUGGUUUCUUUCUGCUCUUAUUUUUGAAGCCAGUGUGAUGGUGUCUUCCACCUGCAGACGGACUCAGAGUGAUUAAAAGAGGUUUCAGGCUUUGUCCCAGGUGACACGAGCUGUAAAUACAUGUGAAAAUGAAUUAAAAAUGUCUGUAUUUAAUGAGACUCUAUCUUCCUUGGCUUUAAUUUCUGUGACCAGACUAAUGAGUUUACAGAGCAGCCAUCAGUGAUGUUGAUCGCAUCAGAUGGAGUCUGCCCGUUGCCGACUUUAUCGCCUUCUGAAAUUCGAGCCGCUUCGCUCAAUUACGGCGCGGGCAGGCAGGCAUCGAAGCUCCGCACCUGCGACACACUCUGCCUCACGUCCACGUCGACCGUGCAGCCGCUCUGACCCCAGAGGAGGAUGACGGAGAGGCUAAAUGGCGCCGCGGAAGGGAGAGAGACAGGCCGGCGGAGCAAAUCUGGCAGGUUCAGCGACGUGGAGGGGAAACGGGACGAGGGCGACGACAGGAGGCAGAAAAGUACAGGAAGAGAAGCAGAAGGAGAGAAACUAAAGAUUUUUUAUCCAUUGGUGUUUGUGGACAAACCAUCGUCAUCGUCGCAUCUGACACAGAAACCAAACGUAAUGACGAAGGGAAAAACAGAAGGCAACAAACUUGGAAGCGCCUGUGCAAUAAAGCAAGACGGCAAAAGGGGAAGAGGGAUUUGAAUAGUAAAUAAUGAUGCAGGGCCAGAGAUAGACGGAGCAGAGAAGAAGGGUAAUUAAUGAAAGAGGGAGCGAGGGAACGAGGGGAAGACAAAGAUGGAGAAAAGCACAAAGACUAGAUAAAUGACUGUAAGCAGAGAGGAGGAGCUCAGCAUCAGCACACAAUGACUUCCUGCGAGUGCGCGAUCAUUGACUCCCCACAACAAUAAGCGCUCACAUCUGCAUGUGAAUAAUGAAUGUGGAAAUCCUUAAACAUCAUUAAAACUCAAACGCAGCACUUCAGCGUUGGCGCCAUUGUUUCCCCUCAGACGCGGCGGCACAGCAAAAGCAGCGAGCGUGGAUUCCUUCCAUAUGUCACAAUAUUUAUAGGCUGCGGUGAGCAGCUUAACAAGCUGACCUUUCCAGCGCCGCGUCCUUUAAUACAGCACUAAUUAAUGAGGUGGCCUCAAAAGGUUGGACCACCCAAAUUACAACAAUGCACUGUAUUUCCUCACAGAACACAGCGACAACCAGAAUAACCAGUGAGCUGCUUCAGGUAGACACCAGUAAGAGACUGGUCCCAGUGUCUGGUCCCAGUCUUUUCUCUUUGGGCUGAUUUAACGUGACGCCACUUUGAGCCUUUAGGAAGACGGGUGGCUUCAUUUUAUUCCUGCGCUCCUAAAGUACGCGAGAGCUGGAGCUGCAACAGCUGCUUCAAAGACAGAGAAGAUGUGGAAGAUGCUGCCGAGCGGUCGCCUGUUGGGACUUUCGCGCGCAUGUAAUGUGACGGCGUGUUUGAAAAGACGAUGUGAUUUAUCUGUGUGGGUUUGAGCAAAUAUAAAAAAACAAAUGUUAACUUUUUUUCAAUAAACUGUGUAUUUUUGCAUCCA
rnacentral:lncRNA from 1 species